rnacentral:tRNA from 1 species
AAAGGAUUAGUUAAAUAAUAACAUUAAAAUGUCAAAUUAAUAUUACUAUCAUAAAUAGUGUCCUUUA